CAGCAGCCGCGGUAAUACGUAGGGUGCAAGCGUUUAUCGGAAUUACUGGGCGUAAAGCGUGCGCAGGCGGUUAUAUAAGUCAGAUGUGAAAUCCCCGGGCUCAACCUGGGAACUGCAUUUGAGACUGUAUGGCUAGAGUGUGUCAGAGGGGGGUAGAAUUCCACGUGUAGCAGUGAAAUGCGUAGAUAUGUGGAGGAAUACCGAUGGCGAAGGCAGCCCCCUGGGAUAACACUGACGCUCAUGCACGAAAGCGUGGGGAGCAAACAGGAUUAGAUACCCCCGUAGUCCCUGUCUCUUAUAC
rnacentral:rRNA from 1 species